rnacentral:lncRNA from 1 species
CCGUUUGCAGGCCCUCUUGCUGUUGGUGGGGCUGCUGCAGGUGGCCUUUGGUGUCCUCUUGGCCAUUUCCCCCUGCGUCUAUAGGGAUGAGCUGCAUGUCCACUUUUACUCAGCAGUGCUGUUGCUCUUGGCUGGAAUCAUCACUCUGGCUGCAGACACAACACACAGCCUGGCCCUGGUGAAAGCCUGCCUGGUCAUUUACAUCAUCUGCACAGCGGUGGUGGGCAUGAUCAACUUAUUCUACCUUGUGGACUUGGUGUAUGAUCCCCGUAACCGGUACAUCCAGUGUCCUUCCAGCAACAGGUUGCACUGCAGGCGGCUGUACCAGAUCUCGCACUAUUGCACGGGCAUGCGGGCCAUCAUCCUGAUCUUAACCUCACUGGGGUUCUUCGUUUCCAUUGCCCUGGCAGCCUUCGGAUGCAAAGCGGUGUGUCGUCAGAACUCUGCUGAUGAUGUGCCGGUCGCCGCCCUGACGAAUCCGCCCGCUUCCCACGAGGCCGCCGUGGAGCCCGAGCCUGUGGUGUCAGAGGGACCUGCGGCGUGAGUGUCCCCUGGUGGAGAGACCGACAGCCCCCCUCAGCAAGCAGCUACCCUGUGUCCCUCAGCGAGAGGUGUUUCUGUUUCACCCUCUCUGCCUUCCCUCCAUCAUCCCCCCUUGUGGAAAAGCCCCUGCUAACUGCCGUUGUGUGUUGUUGCUGCUCACAUGCCCCCUGCUGGACUACCGCACCAUUGCGCCAUGGUGCAAGCGCCCCCCAAAAUCUGUUAAUGUCUUGCAAGCCAAGGGCCUGUCCUGCAAAAUCCUGGAUGGGGAGAGGAUGGCAUAGCACCAUCUGAUGGGCCCUGCAACUAGCUAACAGGAAGUGGGCUAGAGAGAGGCGCAGAGCCUGGCACAGGUUAUGGAUUCCCUCAACCAAGCUCUGAACCCAGCUUCAUCCAUUAUGUGUAAUUGUUAUGUGAAGGCAUCUCCCUGAAACCUGGAACUCUCUGAUUCAUGGAGCCAUAGAUUCUAAGGCCAGAAGGCACCGUUAAAUCAUCUACUCUGACCUUCUGUGUAACACAGGUCAGCGCAUGUCACUCAGUUACCCCUGCACAGAGCCUGAUAACUUGUAUUCAGCUGAAGCCUCUUCCACAAAGGCAUCAGUCUUGAUCUGAAGCUACCAAGAAAUGGAGAAUCCAUCACUUCCCUUGGUAGUCUGUUAAUCGUGUGCACCAUUAGAAAUUUGUGCCUAAUUUCUAAUUUAAUUUGUCUGGCUUCAGCUUACAGCCAUCGGUUCUCGUUAUGCCUUUCUCUGCUCGAUUACAGAGCCCUGGUAUUUGAUCUUCCACAAGAAGUCUACCGGGGGCAUCUCCUCCUGCUUUAAUUGGUGGGUCUAUCAGCGAAGCUGCAGGCACGGAUCAUGACAUGUGUUAUUUCUCCAAAGGAAUGGCUUUGCGGCUGAUUGAGGUGUG